rnacentral:rRNA from 1 species
AAUCCGGCUCAGGAUGAACGCUAGCUACAGGCUUAACACAUGCAAGUCGAGGGGCAGCAUGGUCUUAGCUUGCUAAGGCCGAUGGCGACCGGCGCACGGGUGAGUAACACGUAUCCAACCUGCCGUCUACUCUUGGACAGCCUUCUGAAAGGAAGAUUAAUACAAGAUGGCAUCAUGAGUCCGCAUGUUCACAUGAUUAAAGGUAUUCCGGUAGACGAUGGGGAUGCG